rnacentral:tRNA from 1 species
GGCUGUAGCUCAGAGGCAGAGCACUUGCCUAGCAUGUGUGAGGUACUGGGUUCAAUUCUUAGCACCA